UACGUAGGGUGCGAGCGUUAAUCGGAAUUACUGGGCGUAAAGCGUGCGCAGGCGGUCUGUUAAGACCGAUGUGAAAUCCCCGGGCUUAACCUGGGAACUGCAUUGGUGACUGGCAGGCUUUGAGUGUGGCAGAGGGAGGUAGAAUUCCACGUGUAGCAGUGAAAUGCGUAGAGAUGUGGAGGAAUACCGAUGGCGAAGGCAGCCUCCUGGGCCAACACUGACGCUCAUGCACGCAGCGUGGGGAUCAAACAGG
rnacentral:rRNA from 1 species